UAAAAGAAAUCAUUUUUAGUAAUGCCUGCUCAAUGAACUUAAAUAGCCGCAGACCUCUGUGCUAAGGUAGCAUAAUCAUUUGCCUAAUAAUUAUAGGAUAGAAUGAAAGGUAAUACAUGUUCCCUUCUCUACAAAAAGGUUAUUUAAACUUAAAAUUUAAGUAAAAAUCCUUAAAUAACUAGGGGGACGACAAGACCCUGUCGAACUUAACAUUCACGUUUAGCUGGGGCGGCAAAAAAUAAAACCUUUUAAUUCCCCUUAAUUCACCAACCUUACAAAAGAAAACCAAGUUACCGCAGGGAUAACAGCAUAAUUAUUUCUAAAAGAUCUUAUUUAAGAAAUAGAUUGUGACCUCGAUGUUGAAUUAAAAUUCUUUUAGAGGCAAAAUUCUAAAAAGAGGGUCUGUUCGACCUUUAAAUACUU
rnacentral:rRNA from 1 species